GGAAGUAAAAGUCGCAACAAGGUUUCCGUAGGUGAACCUGCGGAAGGAUCAUUAUCGUACAAAAUGUGAGGGGCAUGCGAGGGCUGUCGCUGACCCAAAAGUCGUGCACGCCCGAGUGUGUCCUCUUGCAUAAUAAUCCAUCUCACCCCUUGUGCAUCACCGCGUGGGCACCCUUCGGGAUCAUCUCGGAGGGGGGCUCGCGUUUUCACACGAACCCCCCUUUUAAAAGUGUAGAAUGACCACAUUUAUGCAAUAAAUACAACUUUCAACAACGGAUCUCUUGGCUCUC
rnacentral:misc_RNA from 1 species